GAUUUCUGCCUAGUGCUCUGAAUGUCAAAGUGAAUAAAUUCAAUGAAGCGCAGGUAAACGGCAGGAGUAACUAUGACUUUCUUAAGACAGGAUCAUAGUUACAACCUGGGCUCAGCUGUAGUGACCAUACCUCCCUGCAAUCCCGCAGGAAGCCUGCCUGAGU
rnacentral:ncRNA from 1 species